rnacentral:rRNA from 1 species
GGUUCGAUUAUGGCUCAGAUUGAACGCCAGGAUGCUUUACACAUGCAAGUCGAACGGCAGCACGGACUUCGGUCUGGUGGCGAGUGGCGAACGGGUGAGUAAUGUAUCGGAACGUGCCUAGUAGCGGGGGAUAACUACGCGAAAGCGUGCGCUAAUACCGCAUACGUUCCUCGGGGGAAAGCGGGGACCUUCGGGCCUCGCACUAUUAGGAGCGGCCGAUAUCGGAUUAGCUAUUGGUGGGGUAACGGCUCACCAAGGCGACGAUCCGGUUUGAGGACGACCAGCCACACUGGGACUGAGACACGGCCCAGACUCCUACGGGAGGCAGCAGUGGGGAAUUCUGACAAUGGGGAAACCCUGGAUCCAGCCAUCUCAAGUGUGCGAUGAAGGCCUUCGUUGUAAAGCACUUUUGGCAGGAAAGAAACGGUACGUGGAUAAUACCCCGUGCAACUGACGGUACCUGCAGAAUAAGCACCGGCUAACUACGUGCCAGCAGCCGCGGUAAUACGUAGGGUGCAAGCGUUAAUCGGAAUUACUGGGCGUAAAGCGUGCGCAGGCGGUUCGGAAAGAAAGAUGUGAAAUCCCAGAGCUUAACUUUGGAACUGCAUUUUUAACUACCGAGUAGAGUGUGUCAGAGGGAGGUGGAAUUCCGCGUGUAGCAGUGAAAUGCAGAUAUGCGGAGGAACACCGAUGGCGAAGGCAGCCUGGGAUAACACUGACGCCUGCGCACGAAAGCGUGGGGAGCAAACAGGAUUAGAUACCCUGGUAGUUCACGCCCUAAACGAUGUCAACUAGCUGCUAGCCCCUGGCCUCGGUAGCGCGGCUGGUCGCGGUGAAGUUGACCGCCUCCGGGGAGUACGUCGCAAGAUUAAAACUCAAAGGAAUUGACGGGGACUCCGCACAAGCGGUGGAUGAUGUGGAUUAAUUGAUGCACGCGAAAAACCUUACCUACCCUUGACAUGUCUGGAAUCCCGAAAGAGAUUUGGGAGUGCUCGCAAGAGAACCGGAACACAGGUGCUGCAUGCAUGUCGUCAGCUCGUGUCGUGAGAUGUUGGGUUAAGUCCCGCAACGAGCGCAACCCUUGUCAUUAGUUGCUACGAAAGGGCACUCUAAUGAGAUCAAGUAUGACAAACCGGAGGAAGGUGGGGAUGACGUCAAGUCCUCAUGGCCCUUAUGGGUAGGGUCCACACGUCAUACAAUGGUCGGGACAGAGGGUCGCCAACCGCGAGGGGGAGCCAAUCCCAGAAACCCGAUCGGUGUCCGGGAUCGCAGUCUGCAACUCUCGACUGCGUGAAGUCGGAAUCGCUAGUAAUCGCGGAUCAGCAUGUCGCGGUGAAUACGUUCCCGGGUCUUGCAGAGCACACCGCCCGUCACACCAUGGGAGUGGGUUUUACCAGAAGAAGAACAACGUAAGGAGGCGCUAUCACUACGGUAGAUUCAUGACUGGGGUGAAGUCAGAACAAGGUAG